rnacentral:rRNA from 1 species
GGAGGGCGCGAGCGUUAUUCGGAAUUAUUGGGCGUAAAGCGCGUGUAGGCGGCUGGGAAAGUCGGAUGUGAAAGCCCGGGGCUCAACCCCGGAAUUGCAUUCGAAACUUCCCAGCUAGAGUCUCGGAGAGGAGGGCGGAAUUCCCGGUGUAGAGGUGAAAUUCGUAGAUAUCGGGAGGAACACCAGUGGCGAAGGCGGCCCUCUGGACGAUGACUGACGCUGAGACGCGAAAGCGUGGGGAGCAAACAGGAUUAGAUACCCUGGGUAGUCCACGCCGUAAACGUUGGGUGCUAGGUGUCGCGGGUAUUGACCCCCUGCGGUGCCGUCGUUAACGCAUUUAGCACCCCGCCUGGGGAGUACGGUCGCAAGACUA